UCUGAAGUACCUGCCGGUACCACCAGUGCCUUAGCCGGCCCCCUAGCAGGCGGCAUCUCUGGAGCUAUCGUCUUAAUAGGAGUUGCGCUUCUAGUUGUGGUCAUCUUCCGUAGGCGAAAGCAAGGUAGCCGGUCUUCAGGAGAAACAGAGCAGAUGAGACCGGAUGACACAAAUGGUGUGCAAUCAACCAGACAUUAUGAAAACCUUCCAGGUGAGAAGUGAGCACUAUGCGGAAGACAUGAUGGUUUGGGAU